rnacentral:misc_RNA from 1 species
GAUGAAGAACGUAGCGAAAUGCGAUAAGUAAUGUGAAUUGCAGAAUUCAGUGAAUCAUCGAAUCUUUGAACGCACAUUGCGCCCGUCAGUAUUCUGGCGGGCAUGCCUGUUCGAGCGUCAUUACGCCCCUCAAGUCCCCUGUGGACUUGGUGUUGGGGAUCGGCGAGGCUGGUUUUCCAGCACAGCCGUCCCUUAAAUUAAUUGGCGGUCUCGCCGUGGCCCUCCUCUGCGCAGUAGUAAAACACUCGCAACAGGAGCCCGGCGCGGUCCACUGCCGUAAAACCCCCCAACUUUUUAUAGUUGACCUCGAAUCAGGUAGGACUACCCGCUGAACUUAAGCAUAUAAUAAGCGGAGGA